UCCUACACGACUCUCGGCAACGGAUAUCUCGGCUCUCGCAUCGAUGAAGAACGUAGCGAAAUGCGAUACCUGGUGUGAAUUGCAGAAUCCCGCGAACCAUCGAGUCUUUGAACGCAAGUUGCGCCCGAGGCCAUUCGGUCGAGGGCACGCCUGCCUGGGCGUCACG
rnacentral:rRNA from 1 species